UGGGGAAUAUUGCACAAUGGGCACAAGCCUGAUGCAGCCAUGCCGCGUGUAUGAAGAAGGCCUUCGGGUUGUAAAGUACUUUCAGUCGGGAGGAAGGUGGUAAGGUUAAUAACCUUGGCAAUUGACGUUACCGACAGAAGAAGCACCGGCUAACUCCGUGCCAGCAGCCGCGGUAAUACGGAGGGUGCAAGCGUUAAUCGGAAUUACUGGGCGUAAAGCGCACGCAGGCGGUUGAUUGAGUCAGAUGUGAAAUCCCCGGGCUUAACCCGGGAAUUGCAUCUGAUACUGGUCAGCUAGAGUCUUGUAGAGGGGGGUAGAAUUCCAUGUGUAGCGGUGAAAUGCGUAGAGAUGUGGAGGAAUACCGGUGGCGAAGGCGGCCCCCUGGACAAAGACUGACGCUCAGGUGCGAAAGCGUGGGGAGCAAACAGG
rnacentral:rRNA from 1 species